ACGGGAGGCAGCAGUGGGGAAUAUUGGGCAAUGGGCGAAAGCCUGACCCAGCAACGCCGCGUGAAGGAAGAAGGUCUUCGGAUUGUAAACUUCUUUUAUAAGGGACGAAGAAAGUGACGGUACCUUAUGAAUAAGCCACGGCUAACUACGUGCCAGCAGCCGCGGUAAUACGUAGGUGGCAAGCGUUAUCCGGAUUUACUGGGUGUAAAGGGCGCGUAGGCGGGGAUGCAAGUCAGAUGUGAAAUCCAUGGGCUUAACCCAUGAACUGCAUUUGAAACUGUAUCUCUUGAGUGUCGGAGAGGUAGAUGGAAUUCCUAGUGUAGCGGUGAAAUGCGUAGAUAUUAGGAGGAACACCAGUGGCGAAGGCGAUCUACUGGACGAUAACUGACGCUGAGGCGCGAAAGCGUGGGGAGCAAACAGGAUUAGAUACCCUGGUA
rnacentral:rRNA from 1 species